rnacentral:rRNA from 1 species
UACGUAGGGUGCAAGCGUUGUCCGGAAUUAUUGGGCGUAAAGAGCUCGUAGGCGGUCUGUCGCGUCUGCUGUGAAAACUCGGGGCUUAACCCCGGGCCUGCAGUGGGUACGGGCAGACUAGAGUGCGGUAGGGGAGACUGGAAUUCCUGGUGUAGCGGUGAAAUGCGCAGAUAUCAGGAGGAACACCGGUGGCGAAGGCGGGUCUCUGGGCCGUAACUGACGCUGGAGGAGCGAAAGCGUGGGGAGCGAACAGG